rnacentral:lncRNA from 1 species
AAUCAUAUUUCUAAAUAAAUCAUCACAAAUAAUCUAUUUUUCAGUUUUAAUUGGAUCAAAAUUUUAAAGCUAGAGACAAUGCUGCAUUGUGAUUAAAGAGUUAGCUUUCCAGUAAGGAGGUCCGCUGUUAGGUCCUAUCACUGCUACAUACUAGCCAUGUGACCCUGGGCAAAUAACUCUUAAAGCUAUGUUUCAGAGAAGGUGCCAAGCAGCAUUGGUAAAGGCAGUUUCCUCAUGUAGAAGUUCCUUCUCAGUGAAAUCAGUCUAGUUUCUAUCCCAAUUGUAAAAAGAAUCUACCCUCCUUCCCACCUGCUUUAUGCUAAAUUAAUGUUUUUUGCAGAUCUGGACAGUGAUCAAGAGCUGUUUUUUUUAUACUGUGAUAGUAUAAAAGUUUCUUAGAGCAAUAAUUUGCAAAUGAAGAUUAUGAAUUAUUGCUUUUGGGUGUUAAACUGCGUUUCAACUAUGAAAUUACUAAUGAUCAUUUCAUUUACAUGUUAGUUUUUCAUGAUAAAGGUUUCUAGUAAGUUAUGUAUAAUUAAGCCAGAAGGAUAAUAAUUAAAAUUUGAGUUUAUUUUUUCAUAAAAUUUUAACAUAACAUUGAUUGUUGGAGGGUUUUGUUUUUAAAGAAUAGAUUUUGAAGAAUGAAUUACCUCAGUUCCUUGCUCAUACUGUGCAAUACAUUAUCUUACACGGUUUUUAAAGUUCAAAUGUUUUCAAAAUUAAUGUUUCUAAUCAGUAAACACAUGCCAAUUUGUUAGUCUUGUUUGAUAAGUAUACAUGAGUUUUGUUUCUUUCCAGAUUCAGCAGUCAAAAUAAUUUUUAUCAUUGUUAGGACUUUUCUUAAUAUAUGAAGAAUUAUGUAAUUUAAAUUAAUUUAAUUUAAAGAAAAUUCAAAAUUGCAUAGUAAACUAGACUUCAUACAUGAAAUUUCUUGAAUAUAUCUUAUAUUUCAGUUCUUAUUCUGUCAGUGUGAAUACUCACCUGGACCCAAACUUCAGUUUCUCUUUAAGCAGUCUUUGAACUGUAUGCAAAAAGUAAAGUUGUCAGGAUUGGUUUUAUCAUAUGCCCAAUGACAAAAGAAAAUUGUAAUGUUCUUGGGUUUUGGUUUCCUUGGGGUCUCUGGGAGCAGUCUUCCUUUCAAUUCAGUAAUCACCAUAAGUACAGCCAGAGAUUAAAGUCCAAAUCCUUUAUUGUCUCUUUCCAAGUCUUGUCUCCUUUCCUGGGGCCCGCUUAGCUUUCUUAUAGUCCUUUAUUAUCCUUUAUUAUCUCCUUUCUGGGGCUGGGCAGCUUUCUGGAGAGUCUUUCAGUCUGGCCUUGAUCUUAGUGGGGAAUUGCAGGAGUCCAGGCCAGCCACCAGGAAGAUCAAAGAUUGAAUUAAAUUUCUCCUCUUGGUUCGAGAACUUAAAGCUCCCGUUUCCAGUUCUUUGCCUUCUCUUCGAAUUCUCUCUGAAUCUCCCUGGCUGAGGCUUCUAGCUUAUAUGCUCCACAUUGAGUACACACCAAUCAUUAUAUCACUAGGAAACCAUUAUUUGUUGUAGGAUUAAAUCAAUGUUAAACUAGAUUUAACCAAAAAAAUUCAAUUCCACCUUAACACCUUGUAAGCAUCCUUUGUUUCAAGUUCAGAGUUCUGGCCCAUAGCAAAAAUGAUCAUCAUUUAUUCAUGUGACCAUCUUCUGUUGAGGUGCUCAAAGUGAGUAUUUGUAAAAAGACCAUCCUAAAAGCAAUUGUAGCUUAUACACAAAUUUUUGUAGAAAAUGAAAAAUUUUGUAACUCCCAAUCAAUUUAACAUAUAGUUGGAUACUCAGUACCU